GAACAGCUCAGUCGGUACAGCAUGAGACUCUCAGUCUCAAGGUCACGGGUUUGAACCCCAUGUAGGGCAACA